UGAACGCUGGCGGCAUGCCUUACACAUGCAAGUCGAACGGCAGCACGGGUGCUUGCACCUGGUGGCGAGUGGCGAACGGGUGAGUAAUACAUCGGAACAUGUCCUGUAGUGGGGGAUAGCCCGGCGAAAGCCGGAUUAAUACCGCAUACGAUCUACGGAUGAAAGCGGGGGACCUUCGGGCCUCGCGCUAUAGGGUUGGCCGAUGGCUGAUUAGCUAGUUGGUGGGGUAAAGGCCUACCAAGGCGACGAUCAGUAGCUGGUCUGAGAGGACGACCAGCCACACUGGGACUGAGACACGGCCCAGACUCCUACGGGAGGCAGCAGUGGGGAAUUUUGGACAAUGGGCGAAAGCCUGAUCCAGCAAUGCCGCGUGUGUGAAGAAGGCCUUCGGGUUGUAAAGCACUUUUGUCCGGAAAGAAAUCCUUGGCUCUAAUACAGUCGGGGGAUGACGGUACCGGAAGAAUAAGCACCGGCUAACUACGUGCCAGCAGCCGCGGUAAUACGUAGGGUGCGAGCGUUAAUCGGAAUUACUGGGCGUAAAGCGUGCGCAGGCGGUUUGCUAAGACCGAUGUGAAAUCCCCGGGCUCAACCUGGGAACUGCAUUGGUGACUGGCAGGCUAGAGUAUGGCAGAGGGGGGGUAGAAUUCCACGUGUAGCAGUGAAAUGCGUAGAGAUGUGGAGGAAUACCGAUGGCGAAGGCAGCCCCCUGGGCCAAUACUGACGCUCAUGCACGAAAGCGUGGGGAGCAAACAGGAUUAGAUACCCUGGUAGUCCACGCCCUAAACGAUGUCAACUAGUUGUUGGGGAUUCAUUUCCUUAGUAACGUAGCUAACGCGUGAAGUUGACCGCCUGGGGAGUACGGUCGCAAGAUUAAAACUCAAAGGAAUUGACGGGGACCCGCACAAGCGGUGGAUGAUGUGGAUUAAUUCGAUGCAACGCGAAAAACCUUACCUACCCUUGACAUGGUCGGAAUCCCGCUGAGAGGUGGGAGUGCUCGAAAGAGAACCGGCGCACAGGUGCUGCAUGGCUGUCGUCAGCUCGUGUCGUGAGAUGUUGGGUUAAGUCCCGCAACGAGCGCAACCCUUGUCCUUAGUUGCUACGCAAGAGCACUCUAAGGAGACUGCCGGUGACAAACCGGAGGAAGGUGGGGAUGACGUCAAGUCCUCAUGGCCCUUAUGGGUAGGGCUUCACACGUCAUACAAUGGUCGGAACAGAGGGUUGCCAACCCGCGAGGGGGAGCUAAUCCCAGAAAACCGAUCGUAGUCCGGAUUGCACUCUGCAACUCGAGUGCAUGAAGCUGGAAUCGCUAGUAAUCGCGGAUCACGCAUGCCGCGGUGAAUACGUUCCCGGGUCUUGUACUCACCG
rnacentral:rRNA from 1 species